rnacentral:rRNA from 1 species
GCGAACGCUGGCGGCAGGCUUCACACAUGCAAGUCGAGCGGGCAUCCUUGUGGUGUCCGCGGCAGACGGGUGAGUAACGCGUGGGAACGUGCCCUUCGGUUCGGAAUAACUCAGGGAAACUUGAGCUAAUACCGGAUACGCCCUUUUGGGGAAAGGUUUACUGCCGAAGGAUCGGCCCGCGUCUGAUUAGCUAGUUGGUGAGGUUAUGGCUCACCAAGGCGACGAUCAGUAGCUGGUCUGAGAGGAUGAUCAGCCACACUGGGACUGAGACACGGCCCAGACUCCUACGGGAGGCAGCAGUGGGGAAUAUUGGACAAUGGGGGCAACCCUGAUCCAGCCAUGCCGCGUGAGUGAUGACGGCCUUAGGGUUGUAAAGCUCUUUUCUCCGGGACGAUAAUGACGGUACCGGAGGAAUAAGCCCCGGCUAACUUCGUG